rnacentral:rRNA from 1 species
AGUGAACGCUGGCGGUAGGCCUAACACAUGCAAGUCGAACGGCAGCACAGUAAGAGCUUGCUCUUACGGGUGGCGAGUGGCGGACGGGUGAGGAAUACAUCGGAAUCUACUUUUUCGUGGGGGAUCACGUAGGGAAACUUACGCUAAUACCGCAUACGACCUACGGGUGAAAGCAGGGGAUCUUCGGACCUUGCGCGAUUGCAUGAGCCGAUGUCGGAUUAGCUAGUUGGCGGGGUAAAGGCCCACCAAGGCGACGAUCCGUAGCUGGUCUGAGAGGAUGAUCAGCCACACUGGAACUGAGACACGGUCCAGACUCCUACGGGAGGCAGCAGUGGGGAAUAUUGGACAAUGGGCGCAAGCCUGAUCCAGCCAUACCGCGUGGGUGAAGAAGGCCUUCGGGUUGUAAAGCCCUUUUGUUGGGAAAGAAAAGCAGCAGGUUAAUACCCCGCUGUUCUGACGGUACCCAAAGAAUAAGCACCGGCUAACUUCGUG